rnacentral:lncRNA from 1 species
UGUAUUUUUAGUAGAGACGGGGUUUCACCACGUUGGCUAGGCUGGGCUAGAACUCCUGACUUCAAGUUAUCUGCCCGCCUGGGCUUCCCAAACUGCUGGAAUUACAGGCGUGAGCCACAGCGCUCGCCCCCCGUACUGAUUUGAGGGUCUCCAGAGCACAAAGGCUGCACCGGAUGAUGAAGAAGGAGCUGAAAGAGCCACAGACUCCGUAGAUCCGGUACAGUCCACACACAGGAAAUUCAGGUCUGGAGGCUGGGAAGCCCAAGAGCAAGGUGUCAGCAGAUGCAGUUCUGGUGUUUUUAAAAAAGGAGGAGGAACCACACAUGAAGAGUCAGCAAUGUACACAAGCUUCUUUGCAUUUGAAAAACUACGGGAGCUGUGAUGAAGAUCUGUGCUAAGAUAUGCGUCUGCUAUAAAUCAUAAUUCCCCCGGUAAAAGUUUUAGCAUAAAAUCCCAGGCAGUCUAUACUCUCAUUAACUCUCUAGCACUGAUGCCCCUGUACCUCUCUGGAGAGCUCAGCCAAGGGACUCCAACUUCCUUGCAUAAGUGGAAGAAGAAAGUCUUGCUGGCAGAGGUCCCUGACACACUAAGAUAGGAACCAGCAGGAGAAGAGUCC